GACGAACGCUGGCGGCGUGCUUAACACAUGCAAGUCGAACGGAAAGGCCCUGCUUUUGUGGGGUGCUCGAGUGGCGAACGGGUGAGUAACACGUGAGUAACCUGCCCUUGACUUUGGGAUAACUUCAGGAAACUGGGGCUAAUACCGGAUAGGAGCUCCUGCUGCACGGUGGGGGUUGGAAAGUUUCGGCGGUUGGGGAUGGACUCGCGGCUUAUCAGCUUGUUGGUGGGGUAGUGGCUUACCAAGGCUUUGACGGGUAGCCGGCCUGAGAGGGUGACCGGCCACAUUGGGACUGAGAUACGGCCCAGACUCCUACGGGAGGCAGCAGUGGGGAAUAUUGCGCAAUGGGCGGGAGCCUGAUGCAGCAACGCCGCGUGCGGGAUGACGGCCUUCGGGUUGUAAACCGCUUUCGCCUGUGACGAAGCGUGAGUGACGGUAAUGGGUAAAGAAGCACCGGCUAACUACGUG
rnacentral:rRNA from 1 species